GACGAACGCUGGCGGCGUGCCUAAUACAUGCAAGUCGAGCGAAAAGGUCAGGAGCUUGCUCCUCUCUCGUUAGCCGCGGACGGGUGAGUAACGCGUGGAUAAUCUACCUGUAAGUGUGGGACAAUUUCGGGAAACCGGCGCUAAUCCCGGAUAAUAUAUUGAACCAUAUGGUUCAAUAGUGAAAGACGGCUUUGCUGUAUUUAAUAGUUGUAUCCCAGCCGCUUUAGCUAGUUGUUAAGUUAACGGCUUACCAAGGCAACGAUGCGUAGCCGACCUGAGAGAGUGAUCGGCCACACUGGAGCGGAGACACGGCCCAGGCUCCUACGGGAGGCACCAGAAGGGAAUCUUCCGCAAGGGGCGAAAGCCUGACGGAGCAAGGCGCAGUAGGUGAUAAAGGUCUUCGGAUCGUAAAACCCUGUUGUGGGGUAAGAACAAAUGUGUAAGUAAAUGUGCACGUAGUGACGGUAACUAAUCAGAAAGCCACGGCUAACUACGUG
rnacentral:rRNA from 1 species